CGCAACAAGGGACGCCAUAUCAGAGAGGUGACUUACCUUGCUGUUUUGGUUAUUCACAGGUUGUUUUAAUUCACAGGUUUUCGUAAUUCACAGGUUGUCUAAUCACAGAAACAGUAAUCAUGCCAUCACGGUCCCACCAGUUCAUGUAUUUGGUAAUGUGUGUCGCAGCAGAACAAGGAUCACCAGAUCGGAGAGUAUCUAUAAUGAGUGAGAUCGUCAGGGAACUUGCACAACGGCUUUUAUUUGACGAUUACGCCAUCAGUUGUUUUAAAAAGUGAUAAACUUUUGCCGAAAUGAUGACCAAACGAAGCGGGAUGUGCAUAAUUAUUAUUUUGCAUGGUAAAUGAAUUGUGUACUUAUAACCUUUGAUAAAUUGUGAAUUACAUGUUCACGCCAUAAAACGUCCUUGGCUUCAGUUGUUGUGUCCGGUAUUAGGCCGACGAAUGUUUAGGUUCACCACUUUAUCCUGCAGUCUCAGCGUAUGUGAUUUUUGUACAUAAAUACAUUUGAGAAGCCCGUGCAAGGCAAAAUGCUGCAUUUCUUCAGAACCAAGGAGGCUGAUGGUUGAGUUCCUAAUACUCUCAGUUCGCAAACAAAACCAAGCUUUGCUACAGAAAGUUUUGACUAGGAUAUUUGCGAUGAAACCAUCACUAUCUCGAGAAAGCAGGUUGUCUAAUUGAGAAUUACAUUGGAUGAGUUCGUAGACCGUGUAAAUACAAUUUGAUAUGUCGAAUAGCUAUAGGGACUAUUGCACAGCCUGACAACAUGGACAAAGCUUCAGCAAGUGUAGUGUUUUCCUCAUUCCAUUUCAUUUCACUGCAUAGUGGAAUCAAUAAUGAUUUAACUUUGGCAAUCUUACGAGUUCAGUCAAUUCUUCGCUGUAGCGUGGCAUGCUCGAAUAUUCAGUGGUGCGCUGCUUUUUUCACCACCUACCUGAUCGACCAUGUAGGCCAUGAUCAAGUCAGAACUUGUUAUCUUCACAAGGAUGUUGCUACCAAAGGCUGGAAUUGCCGGGAUUGGAAAACAGGGCAUCAGCUUUGGAAAAAGCAGGUAUAUAAUAUUUUAGUUUUCAUAUUGGCAACCCCCCUAAAAUUCAACUUGUAUGAAUGACUCGUUCGAGCACCAAUCAUGGUAGAAUUUUCUUCGGCGAUCGUGUAUAUGAAUGAUACAUCUGGCCGAUGCGAUGUCUUAAUGAUGAAAUACUCACAAUGGAAGGAAAGUAUCACCACUACACGUGAACUUCGAGUUUAUAAAACCAUCAAGAGUACCAUUAGAGUUGAGGAAUAUUCUCGACCUGGCGAUGGAUCGUGUCGACCAAAUAUAGAACUCGCACGACACAGUGAAAUCGAACUGGAAAUGAGACAAUAUAACGUUUGUACCAAUGUGGCUGUUGAAACAGAAACCCAAUUCUCGUUCGAAUGCAUGGCGUACAGUCAACUGAGGAAUAAAGAAUAAAUCGUUCACCUACACUUCAACUUUGAGGGUGAAUUAUAAAAUCGUCGGAUGAUAACUUCAAUUCAAAUGAAUUGAUGAACAUUUCUCAGUGAUUUGUGUACCAAUAGUAUAUUAAACCUGUGCCUUAGGCGUAUAUAUAUGAGAAAGUCGUCUUCCAAAUUGUGGACUGCAACUUGGAUAGACACUUCGUGGUAUCCAUCUUUCACACUGAGCCAAGUUACGAUUAAUAACAUCACUGUAAAAUGCCGAUGGAAUAACGCUAUGAAUUUAAAACUAAAUACUACUAGAUAUAACUGUGAUUUAACCUCGAAGAUGAAGUCCGAGUGGAAGUAUGAACGGGCCAUGGCUCCAACUAAGCGGGAUCUGCGGGUUAACGAGCAGUUUUCGUAGAUUCUGCUUUAAUGCCAUGUCUGUCGGGAUGGGAUGCCGAGUGGAGCGCAACUUAUUUAGUAUACAUGGUAUCCCAAAUAGGCAUUAUACAUUGAUAAUGGGUUGAUACAACCGAAAUGCACAGCAAGAUACUGCGGCCUUCCAUUUCCCACAUGUAAUGUAUUAACUUUAGAAUUUGAACAUAUUCAUCCUUUAAAACUGGAACACUACAUUCAAAUAUGUCAUAUCUUUACUUUCUACCGAAACGCCGAACUAGCAGAGGGGCAACUAUCGGUCGUAUCGUGAUGUAAGGAUCUAUGGCCCAUUCCCAGCAUGGGUGGCAUCGGUCUUUUACCACACGAAGUUGAGGGUUAUAGUCACGGUGGCUCUUUUUCAUUACUCCUUGAGCCCUCAUCGUAAUGUCUACGUCUUCAGCCAAGAUAGCAUAACCGGAGAGUUUAGAAAAAAAAGUAAUUUUCAUUUUAACGAGCUCGCCUACAUUGCUGGCGAAUAUGGCAAUGGUGUAAUAGGUGUUAGCACUGGUCAUGGACGAAAGUCUGUCUAUGAAAAAUUUCAAGCAUUUCAUUUCGAUUUGAAUGAAAAAUUUAAUCGCCGAGAGUUGAUUCUACCGUAUGAUGAACUUGAGAAAAGCCUCGGUCCAAGAAAUUCGACGUUCAAAUAUUUCAAAAUGAUUUCAUGCGGUGAGAAUGUUUUCUUGGAGAUGACCUUUCGCAAAUUUCGAAAUAGGGUAAAAACGCUAUCUGUAUCUUGGUUAGAUUGGUAUAAAAUAGUAAAUGUAGGGCUCGUUCUUAAACUUCAGUAUGUUAAAAGCCUAGAAGAGGUGCGCUACUCUCUUAUGUCUGAAGCGGACAUAUAUAAAUCACGUAAUAUGGAUAACAUCAUGCUAGAAGGUAUAAAAUGUGAUUUAAAUGGUUAUGUCUAUAACUCAUCAGCCAGACCACACUCCAUCACCAUCUUAGAAAAACCGUACGAGCAUAAUACAACAACUUCGAUUAUCUUUCGUGAUGACUUGUUCAGAAAAGUAGGAGACUCCGCAAUUGUGUCUUUGCUCGGAUCAUGCGUCGUCGUUGAGGUUCAUCGGUCGAAAAUUGUAAGCAACUCCCUUUUUGACCCAAAGGAGGCCUAUAAAUUUCAACCUAAACUUGCCAUAUAUAUUCUAAUGUUAACUUUGGAGGCAUGUCUUGAACAAUCUGAUGUGGAUGUUCGGCUGACGUUAUUGAUGAAAUUAGAUGCGAAGUUUGUGUCACAUCAUAUGCUGAUUGUUGGUGCUAAUGAAAGAAUAAUCGCUUGGCCAAAAUAUAUUAUUAGUAAUCCGUUGACCGCAAAAGUAUUUGUGGUGUGAGGAAAAGACACGUAUUCUGCGUGAACAAAUUAAAAUCCCAUUUGCUGAUUAAUAGAAACCUGCAGCAAAAAAAGCACUUGAAAUGAAAAUAUCAUAGGGAGCUUGAACGGCACGGUAAAAACGGAAGAAUAGAAAUUAGUUCUUAAUAUUAAAUCUGAGCAGUUUUGAGGACGGUUGGCAAGUCCUCUCUUUUACUUUUAUCCCGUGGAUCGUAUAUCAUUUAGCUCCCCACAACGUUCAAUGCAAACAAUAUGGUUUUGUACGUCAACAUGUCUAUCGUUCUUCCAAAACGUUCUUUUUAGUACUGUAAUGUA